UGGGGGAUAACGUAGGGAAACUUACGCUAAUACCGCAUACGACCUACGGGUGAAAGCAGGGGACCUUCGGGCCUUGCGCGAUUGAAUGAGCCGAUGUCGGAUUAGCUAGUUGGCGGGGUAAAGGCCCACCAAGGCGACGAUCCGUAGCUGGUCUGAGAGGAUGAUCAGCCACACUGGAACUGAGACACGGUCCAGACUCCUACGGGAGGCAGCAGUGGGGAAUAUUGGACAAUGGGCGCAAGCCUGAUCCAGCCAUACCGCGUGGGUGAAGAAGGCCUUCGGGUUGUAAAGCCCUUUUGUUGGGAAAGAAAUCCAGCCGGCUAAUACCUGGUUGGGAUGACGGUACCCAAAGAAUAAGCACCGGCUAACUUCGUGCCAGCAGCCGCGGUAAUACGAAGGGUGCAAGCGUUACUCGGAAUUACUGGGCGUAAAGCGUGCGUAGGUGGUUGUUUAAGUCUGUUGUGAAAGCCCUGGGCUCAACCUGGGAACUGCAGUGGAAACUGGACAACUAGAGUGUGGUAGAGGGUAGCGGAAUUCCCGGUGUAGCAGUGAAAUGCGUA
rnacentral:rRNA from 2 species